AUGGCAUUGAUGAUGAAUACAUACCUUUUGUUAUCCUUGCUCUUUGAUUGCUAGUGAUGGAAUUAUAGUGGAAUUAGUAGACUGAGAUGCCU